UGGUUCUGGCAUCGAUGAAGAACGCAGCGAAAUGCGAUAAGUAAUGUGAAUUGCAGAAUUUUGUGAAUCAUCGAAUCUUUGAACGCACAUUGCACCUUUUGGUAUUCCGAAAGGUAUACUUGUUCGAGCGUCGUUUAUACUAUAUCAAUUUAUUUAUUAAUAUUGAUGUCUUGGAUCUUCUCCUAUGACCUCUUGAAUUUAAAUUUAUUUUUAAAUUCAGAGUUGCAAGAGAUAUCCCAAAAUGAUUGAUAGCGAUCUGAAAUAGAUUUAGAUUGAAAACGCAUUAAAGUUUUACUACUACGUUUAUACAAAUAAAAUCAUAUUCAAAUCAGCCAAAACAAAAUGAAUUUAAGAAGAAAGAUUUUUAAGUAAAUCUUUUUUUUUCAAAUCAAUUAUCAUAAAAUCGACCUCGAAUCAAGUAGGAUUACCCGCUGA
rnacentral:misc_RNA from 1 species